rnacentral:rRNA from 1 species
UACGGGGGGGGCAAGCGUUGUUCGGAAUUACUGGGCGUAAAGGGUUCGUAGGUGGCUCGCUAAGUCAGACGUGAAAUCCCUCAGCUUAACUGGGGAACUGCGUCUGAGACUGGCAGGCUCGAGUGCAGGAGAGGAACGCGGAAUUCCAGGUGUAGCGGUGAAAUGCGUAGAUAUCUGGAGGAACACCGGUGGCGAAGGCGGCAUCCUGGACCAACACUGACACUGAGGAGCGAAAGCCAGGGGAGCAAACGGG